rnacentral:rRNA from 1 species
UACGUAGGUUGCAAGCGUUGUCCGGAAUUAUUGGGCGUAAAGCGCGCGCAGGCGGUCCUUUAAGUCUGAUGUGAAAUCUCGCGGCUCAACCGCGAGCGGCCAUUGGAAACUGGGGAACUUGAGUGCAGGAGAGGGGAGCGGAAUUCCACGUGUAGCGGUGAAAUGCGUAGAGAUGUGGAGGAACACCAGUGGCGAAGGCGGCUCUCUGGCCUGUAACUGACGCUGAGGCGCGAAAGCGUGGGGAGCGAACAGG